rnacentral:misc_RNA from 1 species
CAAAAGGGGAUUAUGACACUCACACAGACUAUGACAACUUGACAGUUGACAUAGAACAUAAAGAAGUCUUCACGGAUACAUUUGAUGAUGGGAAUCACAAAGAGGGUUGGAAGAUGGAUUUUAAUGUUGAUCCAGUGAAGGACAUAGCUGUGGAUGAUGUGAAAUACAAGAUGGAUGAGAGGGUAGAUUCUGAUCUUCAAGCAGUGAAAGACAUAGCUGUUGAUGAUGGG